rnacentral:rRNA from 1 species
AAAAAAAAAACGUGAGUAACCUGCCCUUGACUUUGGGAUAACUUCAGGAAACUGGGGCUAAUACCGGAUAGGAGCUCCUGCUGCAUGGUUGGGGUUGGAAAGUUUCGGCGGUUUGGGAUGGACUCGCUGCUUAUCAGCUUUUUGGUGGGGUAGUGGCUUACCAAGGCUUUGACGGGUAGCCGGCCUGAGAGGGUGACCGGCCAAAUUGGGACUGAGAUACGGCCAAGACUCCUACGGGAGGAAGCAGUGGGGAAUAGUGCAAAAUGGGCGGAAGCCUGAUGCAGCAACGCCUUUUUUUUUAAAUGGGCCGGCGGCCACCAAAAUCUACACUCGUU